UAGCUCAACACAGUCUUCAGUGAUUUUGGACAAAGUCCUUUGACUUUCCAAAGUGCAAACUUCAUGAUGAAUUCAGAUUAUAUUGAAGGGCACAUGGAGUAUAUCAUCCAGGAAAAUGAAAGUGCAGGUAUGAUCAGUACCACUAUGGUGCCCAUGAUUCCAGUGUCAAUCACCCCUCAAGUCAACAUAGUGGGGUCAGCGCUCAUCUACGCUCAUGUGGUCUUCAACUCUUCCACACCCAUCGCCAGUGACACCGCAGCAGUUAAUACUACGCACACACUUCUGUUGUCUUUGUCUGCAAACUUCUAUCAAACAAUUCAGGUGGAGAAUGUGACAUAUGAACAAAUAUCAGACACUUCAUAUGCAGUCAUCAUCAGCUUAAGGCUAAACAAUGUCAGCAUGCCAGAGAAAAGUGAAUCUGCAAACGACACAUAUAGCCAAAUUCAGAAUACUAUUAACAACAUGCUCAACACAGUCUUCAGUGAUUUUGGACAAAGUCUUUUGACUUUCCAAAGUGCAAACUUCAUGAUGAAUUCAGAUUAUAUUGAAGGGCACAUGGAGUAUCUCAUCCAUGAAAAUGAAAGUGCAGGUAUGAUCAGUACCACUACGGUGACCCUGUUUCCAGCUUUAAUCAAACCUCAAGUCAACAUAGUGGGGUCAGCUCUCAUCUACGCUUAUCUGGUCUUCAACUCUUCCACACCCAUCACCAGUGAGACCGCAGCAGUUAAUACUACACGCACACUUCUGUUGUCUUUGUCUGCAAACUUCUAUGAAACAAUUCAGGUGGAGAAUGUGACAUAUGAACAAAGUUCAGAGACCUCAUAUGCAGUUAUUAUCAGCUUAAGGCUAAGCAAUGUCAGCAUGCCAGAGUUAAGUGAAUCUGCAAAUGACACAUAUAACCAAAUUCAGAAUACUAUUAACAACAUGCUCAACACAGUCUUCAGUGAACAUGGACAAACUCUUUUGAUCUUUCAAUAUGCAAACUUUAUGACAAAUUCAGAUCAAAUUGAAGGGCUCAUGGAAUAUACAAUCCAGGAAAGUGAAACUACCACACUAUUUACAACUACAGCCACAUCAAUGUCUACAACAGAGGGUUUUGAUACAGCAAGCGCAACUGAAGCUGAGCCUGCUAGCACAAAAAUUACACUGUAUGUAUUAUAA
rnacentral:lncRNA from 1 species